rnacentral:rRNA from 1 species
CAGUCGCCGCGGGAAUACAGAGGCCUCAAGCGUUGUUCGGAUUCAUUGGGCGUAAAGGGAGCGUAGGCGGUCGGGUAAGUUGGAUGUGAAAUCCUGGGGCUCAACCUCAGAACUGCAUUCAAUACUGCUUGGCUAGAGUACUGGAGAGGUGAGUGGAAUUCACGGUGUAGCAGUGAAAUGCGUAGAUAUCGUGAGGAAGACCAGCGGCGAAGGCGGCUCACUGGACAGUUACUGACGCUGAUGCUCGAAGGCCAGGGGAGCAAACGGGAUUAGAUACCCCCGUAGUCCCUGUCUCUUAUAC